AUCAUUACUGAGUUUACGCUCUAUAACCCUUUGUGAACAUACCUAUAACUGUUGCUUCGGCGGGUAGGGUCUCCGUGACCCUCCCGGCCUCCCGCCCCCGGGCGGGUCGGCGCCCGCCGGAGGAUAACCAAACUCUGAUUUAACGACGUUUCUUCUGAGUGGUACAAGCAAAUAAUCAAAACUUUUAACAACGGAUCUCUUGGUUCUGGCAUCGAUGAAGAACGCAGCGAAAUGCGAUAAGUAAUGUGAAUUGCAGAAUUCAGUGAAUCAUCGAAUCUUUGAACGCACAUUGCGCCCGCCAGCAUUCUGGCGGGCAUGCCUGUUCGAGCGUCAUUUCAACCCUCAAGCUCUGCUUGGUGUUGGGGCCCUACAGCUGAUGUAGGCCCUCAAAGGUAGUGGCGGACCCUCCCGGAGCCUCCUUUGCGUAGUAACUUUACGUCUCGCACUGGGAUCCGGAGGGACUCUUGCCGUAAAACCCCCCAAUUUUCCAAAGGUUGACCUCGGAUCAGGUAGGAAUACCCGCUGAACUUAAGCAUAUCAAUAAGCGGAGGAAAAGAAACCAACAGGGAUUGCCUCAGUAACGGCGAGUGAAGCGGCAACAGCUCAAAUUUGAAAUCUGGCCCUAGGCCCGAGUUGUAAUUUGCAGAGGAUGCUUUUGGUGCGGUGCCUUCCAAGUUCCCUAGAACGGGACGCCAGAGAGGGUGAGAGCCCCGUACAGUUGGACACCAAGCCUUUGUAAAGCUCCUUCGACGAGUCGAGUAGUUUGGGAAUGCUGCUCAAAAUGGGAGGUAUAUUUCUUCUAAAGCUAAAUACCGGCCAGAGACCGAUAGCGCACAAGUAGAGUGAUCGAAAGAUGAAAAGCACUUUGAAAAGAGGGUUAAACAGCACGUGAAAUUGUUAAAAGGGAAGCGCUUGUGACCAGACUUGCGUCCGGUGAAUCACCCAGCUCUCGCGGCUGGGGCACUUCGCCGGCUCAGGCCAGCAUCAGCUCGCUGUCGGGGACAAAAGCUUCAGGAACGUAGCUCUCUUCGGGGAGUGUUAUAGCCUGUUGCAUAAUACCCUUCGGCGGGCUGAGGUACGC
rnacentral:rRNA from 1 species